AAUGAAAUGCCUGAAAAAGGAUUGCCCCGAUAAAGCAAAUCAUAUAAUUUAUUUAUUUUCAUUA
rnacentral:tRNA from 1 species